ACACAUGCAAGUCGAGCGGAUGAAGGGAGCUUGCUCCUGGAUUCAGCGGCGGACGGGUGAGUAAUGCCUAGGAAUCUGCCUGGUAGUGGGGGAUAACGUUCCGAAAGGAACGCUAAUACCGCGUACGUCCUACGGGAGAAAGCAGGGGACCUUCGGGCCUUGCGCUAUCAGAUGAGCCUAGGUCGGAUUAGCUAGUUGGUGAGGUAAUGGCUCACCAAGGCGACGAUCCGUAACUGGUCUGAGAGGAUGAUCAGUCACACUGGAACUGAGACACGGUCCAGACUCCUACGGGAGGCAGCAGUGGGGAAUAUUGGACAAUGGGCGAAAGCCUGAUCCAGCCAUGCCGCGUGUGUGAAGAAGGUCUUCGGAUUGUAAAGCACUUUAAGUUGGGAGGAAGGGCUGUAGGCUAAUAUCCUGCGGUUUUGACGUUACCAACAGAAUAAGCACCGGCUAACUUCGUGCCAGCAGCCGCGGUAAUACGAAGGGUGCAAGCGUUAAUCGGAAUUACUGGGCGUAAAGCGCGCGUAGGUGGUUCGUUAAGUUGGAUGUGAAAGCCCCGGGCUCAACCUGGGAACUGCAUCCAAAACUGGCGAGCUAGAGUACGGUAGAGGGUAGUGGAAUUUCCUGUGUAGCGGUGAAAUGCGUAGAUAUAGGAAGGAACACCAGUGGCGAAGGCGACUACCUGGACUGAUACUGACACUGAGGUGCGAAAGCGUGGGGAGCAAACAGGAUUAGAUACCCUGGUAGUCCACGCCGUAAACGAUGUCAACUAGCCGUUGGAAUCCUUGAGAUUUUAGUGG
rnacentral:rRNA from 1 species